UGUUUUUCAUCUCCCUGUACAUUUUUUGAAAAAACGCUGAAAUAGGUGUCUAAUCAUUUUAAUUGAAGAAUAUUUGUGCAAAUUUUCAGCUCCCUAGCUUUCUUUGUUUUUGAGUUAUGAGUAUGUUGAGAUGAUUUUUUGAAAAAAAAUCACAUUUCUUCAAAAAAAAAUUGUUUUUCAUCUCCCUGUACAUUUUUUGAAAAAACGCUGAAAUAGGUGUCUAAUCAUUUUAAUUAAAGAAUAUUUGUGCAAAUUUUCAGGUCUCUAGCUUUCUUGGUUUUUGAGUUAUGAGCAUGUUGAUAGGAUUUUUUGAAAAAAAAUCAAAUUUUUUCAAAAAAAAAUUGUUUUUCAUCUCCCUGUAUAUUUUUUGAAAAAACGCUGAAAUAGGUGUCCAAUCAUUUUAAUUGAAGAAUAUUUGUGCAAAUUUUCAGCUCCCUAGCUUUCUUUGUUUUUGAGUUAUGAGUAUGUUGAGAUGAUUUUUUGAAAAAAAAUCACAUUUCUUCAAAAAAAAAUUGUUUUUCAUCUCCCUGUA